AAUGAACGCUGGCGGCGUGCCUAACACAUGCAAGUCGGAUGUGCCGCAAGGUGCAUGGCAGACGGGUGCGUAACGCGUAGGGAAUCUACCUUUUUGUGGGGAAUAACGCUCCGAAAGGAGUGGUAAUACCGCAUGAGACCGUGAGCUGGGAUGUUCACGGUGAAACCUGGGGACCGCAAGGCCUGGGGCAAAAAGAGGAUCCUGCGUCUGAUUAGCUAGUUGGCGGGGUAAUGGCCCACCAAGGCGACGAUCAGUAGCCGGCCUGAGAGGGUGAUCGGCCACACUGGAACUGAGACACGGUCCAGACUCCUACGGGAGGCAGCAGUGGGGAAUUUUGCGCAAUGGACGAAAGUCUGACGCAGCAACGCCGCGUGGGUGAUGAAGGUCUUCGGACUGUAAAACCCUGUCGUCAGGGACGAAGGUGGCAGUGUUAAUAGCGCUGUUACUUGACGGUACCUGGAGAGGAAGCCCCGGCUAACUCUGUG
rnacentral:rRNA from 1 species